rnacentral:rRNA from 1 species
AAUGAACGCUGGCGGCGCGCCUAAUACAUGCAAGUCGAGCGAGAAGACGUAGCAAUACGUUUGUAAAGCGGCGAACGGGUGAGGAAUACAUGGGUAACCUACCCUCGAGUGGGGAAUAACUAGCCGAAAGGUUAGCUAAUACCGCGUACGCUCCUUGGACUUCGGUUCAGGGAGGAAAGCGAUACCGUGGGUAUCGCGCUCUUGGUUGGGCUCAUGUCCUAUCAGCUUGUUGGNGAGGUAACGGCUCACCAAGGCUUCGACGGGUAGCUGGUCUGAGAGGACGAUCAGCCACACUGGCACUGCGACACGGGCCAGACUCCUACGGGGGGCAGCAGUAAGGAAUAUUGCGCAAUGGGCGAAAGCCUGACGCAGCGACGCCGCGUGGGGGGA